AGUAAACAUACCAAAUAAUUGAACCAUGGCAGCUGCAGAUCGCAAGCAAAACAUUGUUUCAGCUCUAUGCAAGCACCUUUCAACGUUGUCAUUAGACCCUAAUUCGUAUUCAACUAAUUUGGAUAAAGACAUUAAAAGCUUGUGUAUAGACAUUUUCAAUUCUUCCCCAAGUGGGCCGUCUAUCACAAAAGAUAAUGAGUUAAUGAAGUGGAUCGAAUUUGCGAGUAACUUCCCUGUUGAUUCUGGGACAAGCCUUAAAGCUCUAAGUGAGUUGAAUGAGGAUUUGAGUAAGAAGUCUGUUAUUUUGGGCAACGGGUUGAAGAUUUCAGAAGCUGAUAUUGUUGUCUUUGCCGCUGUGCAUUCAUCCGUGAUCAGUCUUUCAAACUCUGACAGAAACAAAUUGCCGUACUUGCUUAGAUGGAUGGACUAUAUCCAGACUAAAGGUGACGUCGGAGACGCAUUCCAAAAAAUUUUGCUGGAGAAAGUCCAAUUUGAGCCACCUGCAGCAAAAUGUGUGAAGAAGGUAGAAGUAGAGUCAAAUGCCAAAAAAACUGACACAGAGACCAAACCGGCUAGUAGUUCAGAUGUUGACUCCAAAAAAAAGAACAAUAGUGGCGUGAAGAAAGCUGCUGCAGAUAAUCAAACUUCUGCAGAAAAGAAGUUGCCUGAGAAGGUAGAUGACAAAGAUAAAGAUAUCAGUGUUAGUUUGCUAAAAUUACAGAUUGGCCACAUUAAAAAAGCAUGGAAACAUCCAUCAGCUGAGAGCUUACUGGUUGAGGAGAUAGAUGUUGGAGAAGCAAAAUGUCGGCAAGUAGUUAGUGGCCUGGCUAAGUUUUGCAGUCCAGAACAGUUAACUAAUCGCCUUGUGGUGCUUGUGACAAACAUGAAACCAUCAAAAUUACGUGAUGUCAUAUCAGAGGGAAUGGUAUUAUGUGCUUCUAAUGAAGAUCAUACUGUGGUGGAGCCUCUUGUAGCACCAGAAGGUGCCAAAGUUGGGGAAUGCAUCUCAUUUGCUGGGCAUGAUGGAAAACCAGAAGAUGUUCUGAAUCCUAAAAAGAAGCAGUUUGAGAAAAUUGCUGUGAACCUUUUCACUGAUGACAAAGGAGUUGCUACAUUCAAAGGUAUCCCAUUCAUGACAUCUGCUGGACCAUGCACAUCUUCGAUUCCCCGAGCAACCGUCAAGUGAUUGCACUUGUCAGCAGAAGAAUAUCAUUGUAGCAUCUUUGUUGGAAAUGCAUUGUUAAAACUCGUAUGAAUACCGUUCUUUUUGGGGGCUAAGGUUAGCAGAAGAGAGGGGUUUCCUGAAAAAGCAUAGUAACUGAUUUUGUUGUACGUGUUUAGUCUAUAGUCAAAAAGAGAACUUCAAAACUAAAGCGUUGCAGAUACAUUUCUUCAAUAGUUAUAGAGUUCUCGUGGGAGUUUGGUUUUUACUUGAAGAUGUGAAAAUGUCAUUCUUCUCAUCAAUUUGUUAGUGGUCAUAAAUGAUCAU
rnacentral:misc_RNA from 1 species